rnacentral:lncRNA from 1 species
GAAGUGGCCCCCUUUCCCUUUCGCCUCCUCCAGCGGCACAAUGUGAUCCACCGGAAAGGAGGGACGCCAAUAAGGCGUCUGAUAAGCUAUGACAGGAGGAAGUUUCUCUGGGCCUCCAUACUCUGAUGAGAAGUGUCUGUCUGUUCCUUCCAGAAGACUUGAUACAGAGAAGCCUCCAGCCACAGUUACCCAUAAUGGAAACCGAAGCAAGGAACCCAGGAACAGAAGAACCCAACGGGAUGGCAAAGAUGUUCCUUUUGAGUGGAAAACUGGAUCAACUCAAGAGGAAGGCAAUUGCCACACACAGACUUCACCAACUCUGAGCUCAUCAGGGGAGAAUAGGAGAGAUCAGUGGGGAUUCAGACAGCAUCCACCAAGCUCAUCUCAUUCGGUGUCUUCUUCGCUCCUCAAAGCAGUGGCACAGCAAUCCAGUCUGAGCAUGCAAGUCUGAGAACCAUAUUGAGAAGCCCCUGUGAGAGCCACCCUCUCUCUGCACAGGUUUCUGUUCCUUCUGCUUCCAGAGUCCACAAAUGUGCACUUGGGAGUAUCUGAAACCCAGAGCAACUUUACCCAACCCCAUCACUGACUUCCCUGGGGAGAAUUUUUUGUGGAGACUUAGUAGGAUUAAAUUGAGAUCCCAAGGAAACUGUAGGAGGCCACACUCCCAAAUGAGAAUGCAUACACCUGCUGCAGGCAGACUUCUGACCUGCAGCUCCUCAUUAGAAGGAAGAAACCACAGUGCAGCACCUGCGGCUGCUGAGGUGACUCUUUGGAUAAUGUCCUA